rnacentral:rRNA from 1 species
GACAGAGGGUGCAAACGUUGCUCGGAAUCACUGGGCGUAAAGGGCGUGUAGGCGGGAAGGAAAGUCAGAUGUGAAAUCCCUGGGCUCAACCCAGGAACUGCAUUUGAAACUCCCUUUCUUGAGUACCGGAGAGGAAGGUGGAAUACCUGGUGUAGAGGUGAAAUUCGUAGAUAUUAGGUGGAACACCAGUGGCGAAGGCGGCCUUCUGGACGGUAACUGACGCUGAGACGCGAAAGCGUGGGGAGCAAACAGG